GGGAAUCUUCGGCAAUGGACGAAAGUCUGACCGAGCAACGCCGCGUGAGCGAUGAAGGCCUUCGGGUCGUAAAGCUCUGUCCUCAAGGAAGAUAAUGACGGUACUUGAGGAGGAAGCCCCGGCUAACUACGUGCCAGCAGCCGCGGUAAUACGUAGGGGGCUAGCGUUAUCCGGAAUUACUGGGCGUAAAGGGUGCGUAGGUGGUUUCUUAAGUCAGAGGUGAAAGGCUACGGCUCAACCGUAGUAAGCCUUUGAAACUGGGGAACUUGAGUGCAGGAGAGGAGAGUGGAAUUCCUAGUGUAGCGGUGAAAUGCGUAGAUAUUAGGAGGAACACCAGCGGCGAAGGCGGCUUACUGGACCGUGACUGACGUUGAGGCUCGAAAGCGUGGGGAGCAA
rnacentral:rRNA from 1 species